rnacentral:rRNA from 1 species
GUCCUUUUGAUUUUUAUUUAAGGUCUAGUCUGCCCACUGAAAAUAUAUUUUAAAUGGCCGCAGUAUAUUGACUGUGCAAAGGUAGCAUAAUCAUUAGUUUUUUAAUUAAAAGCUUGUAUGAAAGGCUGGACGAGGUAGGAUCUGUCUCUAUAUAAUUUAUAUUAGAAUUUAACUUUUAAGUUAAAAGGCUUAAAUAUUAUUAAAAGACGAGAAGACCCUAUAGAGCUUUAUAAUUUAUUAAAUAGAAUUAAUUUAGAAUUAUUAAUAUUUUAUUUUUUAAUAUUAUUUUAUUGGGGUAAUAGAAAGAUUGAAUUAAUUCUUUUUUGUUAUAAACAUUAAUUUAUGAAUAUAAAAUGAUCCAGUUUUAUUGAUUAUAAGAUUAAGUUACCUUAGGGAUAACAGCGUAAUUUUUUUAGAGAGUUCAUAUCGAUAAAAAAGUUUGCGACCUCGAUGUUGGAUUAAAGAUUAUUUUAGGUGUAGAAGCUUAAUAAAUUUGGUCUGUUCGACCAUUAAAUCUUUAC